UACGGAGGGUGCGAGCGUUAAUCGGAAUUACUGGGCGUAAAGCGUGCGUAGGUGGUAGCGUUAGUCAGCCGUGAAAGCCCCGGGCUCAACCUGGGAAUGGCGGUUGAAACGGCGCGACUCGAGUGGGCUAGAGGACUGUGGAACUCCCGGUGUAGCGGUGAAAUGCGUAGAGAUCGGGAAGAACACCGAUGGCGAAGGCAGCGGUCUGGGGCCACACUGACGCUGAGGCACGAAAGCGUGGGGAGCAAACAGG
rnacentral:rRNA from 1 species